GAAGAAGCGCUUCGGCGUGACGGUACCUGAAGAAAAAGCACCGGCUAACUACGUGCCAGCAGCCGCGGUAAUACGUAGGGUGCAAGCGUUGUCCGGAAUUAUUGGGCGUAAAGAGCUCGUAGGCGGUUUGUCGCGUCUGCUGUGAAAACCCGAGGCUCAACCUCGGGCCUGCAGUGGGUACGGGCAGACUAGAGUGCGGUAGGGGAGAUUGGAAUUCCUGGUGUAGCGGUGGAAUGCGCAGAUAUCAGGAGGAACACCGAUGGCGAAGGCAGAUCUCUGGGCCGUAACUGACGCUGAGGAGCGAAAGCGUGGGGAGCGAACAGGAUUAGAUACCCUGGUAGUCCACGCCGUAAACGUUGGGCGCUAGGUGUGGGGCUCAUUCCACGAGUUCCGUGCCGCAGCUAACGCAUUAAGCGCCCCGCCUGGGGAGUACGGCCGCAAGGCUAAAACUCAAAGGAAUUGACGGGGGCCCGCACAAGCGGCGGAGCAUGUUGCUUAAUUCGAUGCAACGCGAAGAACCUUACCUAGGCUUGACAUGCACGGAAAUCCUCCAGAGAUGGUGGGUCCGUAAGGGUCGUGCACAGGUGGUGCAUGGUUGUCGUCAGCUCGUGUCGUAAGAU
rnacentral:rRNA from 1 species